GCACUGCUGAUGAGUCCCACAGCGGGACGAAACGGCCGUCCAGUGC
rnacentral:hammerhead_ribozyme from 1 species